AGGAGGUGACGGCAAUAGUAGUGGCAGCCUGUGAGGCGUUAUGGUGACACAAGCAGUGGGGCUUGUGAGGCCUCGCCGUGGUGGCAAGAAGUGGCGGCCUGCAAGUGGCGGUAGUGGGAGGCUGUGGCAAAAGCUGUGGCAGCCACCUCUGCUUCUGCCACCGUCUCCUGCCACCACCACAAGGCCUCACAAGCUGCUGCUACUGCCACCGCCAUGAGAAGACCAUGCAGGCUGUCGCUGCUUUUGCCACUGCCGCCAGCAUGACAAGGCCUCGCAGGCUGCCGCCACUUCUGCUGCCAUUGCCGUGGCAAGGCUUU